GCGGCGGCGACGGCAGCAGCGGCGGACCGGAGUCCGGCCUGAUCCUCACUGGGAGCAGCGCGAGCCGGCCGCGGGCCACCAUGUCGGCGCCGUCGGAGGAGGAGGAGUACGCGCGGCUGGUGAUGGAGGCUCAGCCCGAGUGGCUGCGCGCCGAGGUGAAGCGGCUCUCGCACGAGCUGGCCGAGACCACGCGCGAGAAGAUCCAGGCGGCCGAGUACGGGCUGGCGGUGCUGGAGGAGAAGCACCAGCUCAAGCUGCAGUUCGAGGAGCUCGAGGUGGAUUACGAGGCCAUCCGCGGCGAGAUGGAGCAGCUCAAGGAGGCGUUUGGACAGGCGCACACGAACCACAAGAAGGUGGCCGCAGACGGCGAGAGCCGGGAGGAAAGUCUAAUCCAGGAGUCAGCCUCCAAGGAGCAGUACUAUGUGCGCAAGGUGCUGGAGCUGCAAACGGAGCUGAAGCAGCUGCGGAACGUGCUCACCAACACGCAGUCGGAGAGCGAGCGCCUGGCGUCCGUGGCGCAGGAGCUGAAGGAGAUCAACCAGAACGUGGAGACCCAGCGUGGCCGCCUGCGGGACGACAUCAAGGAGUACAAGUUCCGAGAGGCCCGCCUGCUGCAGGACUGCUCGGAGCUGGAGGAGGAGAACAUCAGCCUGCAGAAGCAGGUGUCCGUGCUCAGGCAGAGCCAGGUGGAGUUUGAGGGCCUCAAGCAUGAGAUCAAGCGUCUGGAGGAGGAGACGGAGUACCUCAACAGCCAGCUGGAGGACGCCAUCAGGCUCAAGGAGAUCUCGGAGCGGCAGCUGGAGGAGGCGCUUGAGACGCUGAAGACGGAGCGCGAGCAGAAGCUGAGUCUGCGCAAGGAGCUGUCGCACUACAUGAGCAUCAACGACUCCCUGUACACUAGCCACCUGCACGUCUCCCUGGACGGCCUCAAGCUCGGCGAUGACGCCGAAGCCCUGGCCAACGGCUUCGAGCACGCCGGCCUCGCCAAGCUGCCGCUGGACAACAGGACCUCCACGCCCUCCAAGGACGGCCUCGCCCCGCCCUCCCCCAGCCUGGUGUCCGACCUCCUCAGCGAGCUCAACAUCUCCGAGAUCCAGAAGCUGAAGCAGCAGCUGGUGCAGCUGGAGCGGGAGAAGGUAGGCCUGCUGACGACGCUGCAGGACACACAGAAGCAGCUGGAGCAGGCGCGGGGUGCCCUGUCAGAGCAGCACGAGGAGGUGAGCCGCCUCACGGAGAAGCUCAGUGCCCUGCGGCGCCUGCAGGCCGGCAAGGAGCGGCGGACGGCCCUGGACAGCGAGAAGGAGCGGGACAGCCAUGAGGAUGGUGACUACUACGAGGUGGACAUCAACGGGCCUGAGAUCCUGGCUUGCAAGUACCGCGUGGCCCUGGCAGAGGCCGGUGAGCUCCGCGAGCAGCUGAAAGCCCUGCGCAGCGCACACGAGGCCGGCGAGGCCCGGCACGCGGAGGAGAAGGGCCGGCAUGAGGCCGAGAGCCAGGCGCUCACCGAGAAGGUCUCCCUGCUGGAGAAGGCCGGCCGCCAGGACCGUGAGCUGCUGGCCCGGCUGCAGGCGGAGCUGAAGAAGGUGAGUGAUGUCGCAGGUGAGACGCAGGGCAGCCUGAGCGUGGCCCAGGACGAGCUGGUGACCUUUAGCGAGGAGCUGGCCAACCUCUACCACCACGUGUGCAUGUGCAACAAUGAGACGCCCACCCGUGUCGUGCUGGACUACUACCGAGAGGGCGCGGCCGGCGCCGGCCACUGCAGCCCCGAGGCCCGGGAGCGCCGCUCACCCGUCCUGCCCAAAGGACCGCCAGCCUCAGAGGCUGGGGCGGGGGACAGCAGCCCCUCGCCCAGCCCUUCCCUGCCCUCGCCCCUGAGUGACCCACGGCGGGAGCCCAUGAACAUCUACAACCUGAUCGCCAUCAUCCGAGACCAGAUCAGGCACCUGCAGGCGGCCGUGGACCGCACCACGGAGCUGUCGCGGCAGCGCCUGGCCUCCCAGGAGCUGGGCCCUGCCUCGGAUAAGGACCGGGAGGCACUCAUGGAGGAGAUCCUCAAGUUGAAGUCUCUGCUGAGCACCAAGCGGGAGCAGAUCACCACGCUGCGCACGGUGCUCAAGGCCAACAAGCAGACGGCCGAGGUGGCCCUGGCCAACCUGAAGAGCAAGUACGAGAAUGAGAAGGCCAUGGUGACCGAGACCAUGAUGAAGCUGCGUAACGAGUUAAAGGCCCUCAAGGAGGACGCGGCCACCUUCUCCUCACUGCGAGCCAUGUUUGCCACCAGGUGUGACGAGUACAUCACGCAGCUGGACGAGAUGCAGCGGCAGCUGGCCGCCGCCGAGGACGAGAAGAAGACGCUUAACUCCCUGCUGCGCAUGGCCAUCCAGCAGAAGCUGGCGCUGACCCAGCGGCUGGAGCUGCUCGAGCUGGACCAUGAGCAGACCCGGCGAGGCCGCGCCAAGGCCACCUCCAAGGCCAAGCCGGGCACCCCGAGCGUAAGUCACACCUGCGCCUGCGCCAGCGACAGGGCUGAGGGCGCCGGGCUCACCACCCCGGUGCUCUGCGGCGAGAAGUAUAACAUUUACUGUGAUUAGGGCCACGGGGCCGCCGCUGCCGCUACCCUGCCGCACGCCACCUGUCUGCUUCACCUCCACUAACCCAGCAGCAGCGGGACCGCGGUGCUAGGCGGGUCUUAACCGUGACUAAUGCGCAGAGGGAAGGAUUUGGCCGAGGCGGCGUGCUGUUCUACCUGGACCCUGUGAGCUUGGUGUCUGUUCUCAGCCCUCGGGACCACCCUUCAUAGCAGCUACUCUCUCGGUGGGGGGAGGGGGUCUCCUUGCAAAAACAUGGCUUUCCAGGGCCUGUGCGCCGUUGGCUCCUGCAGGAGGAGGGGACAGAGCCGGAAUUGGACUUGCAUGUUCCCUGCACGUGUCUAAUGUGCGGCGGCGCCGGCACCAGCAGCAGCGUUCGAGGUUCCGGCCCGAGUGCAAGGCGUGGCCUCGGUGGAUGCGUGUGGCUUGGCACAGUUUACAGAGACAAUUCCUUUGUAGUUUGUGCACGUCGCAUUUGGGACAGAAUCCCCUCCCCAGCCCUGCAUCCUCCAGCACAGGUGCCUGUGUGCGGGGGCCCUGCUCACACCCGCGUGGCUCAGACACGGCUGCCACACCCGAGACCAGGGCUCUGCAGGCUCAGCCUCUCUGAGAUCUGCAUGCCUGUCUGGUGGCCUGUGAGGGGACAUAUUGGCGGGUCCCAGGCCUGGGGUUUGUUGUUUUUGUUCCAUGAGAAAAACUUCUUAAGUGCCUGGCCAGACUCUGUCCUCACAGGCAGCCCAUCUUUUUAUACUUAGGGCCUCCCCGGCCUCCCAGGUGGGUUUUCCACCCUCUGCUCGUGAUCAGGGCCCAGCCCCACUUGGGAAGGGGGCCUCGCCUGGGCCCAGGCCUGUUUGGGACCCCACAGCAGACUCCAGGCGCCGUGAGGACCACCUUGGAUCUGGUCAACUGCUGGAGCAGGAAGAGUGGGCCAGGCCGCUCUGCUGACGGGAUGUCGGGUGUCAAGGCCCCUCCCACUUGAGGAGGGGUCUACCGGGGGCCUGGCUGCCCGCUGGCCCCACACAUCGCUUCCACCCUCUGCCGAGCCUGGCACGCAGCUUCUAUCCAUACUUGCAGGGGUCUCCCCAAGGCACGGCCCCCCUAACCCAUGCAGGUCUUCUCCGCUGCCGACUAACGCACCGCGUCCUCGCCCGGCCAGACCUUCGGUGGUCGGGCCGCUGCCGGUUCUAACGCUGUCUUGUUUUCUCCCGUUUUCAGCUGUAGAGUAGCUGCCGGGAGGACUCGGCCGCGGCCCUGUCACACUGCAGCCCCUCCCCCUCCCGCGGGCCCGCGCAGAGGAAGGAAGGGCAGCCUAAAAGUCCACUUAGAAACCUGUUUGGAUAUGCCACUGCAGUUCUUUCCAAAUUAGCAUUCCCUGAGUGUUUAAUGGCAGAGGACAUAAAGCUUUAAUGUUGAGAAUGCCGCCAGCUGCUGCCUGGAGGGCCUCUGUACGGCGCUGAAGAACCGGCUCGGACAGCGGCCAUCAGGCUCGCUUAGAACCCGCUAGAAACGCUCAACACUGGGGUCUCCCUGUUACAGAUGCCCUUUUUUAUCCGAUCAACCUGUGCACUUUUGAUAUUUUGAUAUUAUUAUAUUUGCUUCCUUAAUCCCUCCCGUAGAGACGGUCUCAGCUGCCGUGGUCUGUCCCGUGGUCCUGUAGCGCUCCGUCUUAGCUCCUGCCGUGUCGAUCUGGCGUCAGCACGUGGCACGGACGUGUUUCCCAGCGUGUAGCUCUAGACUGUUUCGGUGAAGGCCUCGACCCGGCAAGGAGCCCAGCCAGUCGCAGCCGCGCUGCGGUUCAGCAGCCUUUCAGGUUAUGCGGCUUUAUGGUUCACGUGCGAGGUUACAGAUUUUAAAUGCCAUGUUCAUUAAGAAAUCCAGGGUAUUCCAAUUCUGGGGUUUUUCAUAUUGUAUUAUUAUUAUUCUUAGGAAUAGUUCAAUGUAACAAGAAGAAAACUUGACCUUUGCUCUGGUUAAACAGUAAUAGGCACUUGAAAACAAAAAGAUAAAUUAUUGAAUGAGUAGUAUUACCUACAAACUCCAGAAUCUUCUGGGUUUUAGGACAUUGUGAAGCAUGACUGAUUAACAGAAUUUUAUACAACUGUACCAGUGAAAUUCCAAAUUGGAAUUGUUUUGUUACUCUGGUUGUUGUGCCGGAUUGUGGCGCACUUAGAAAAUCCUACAGCCGUCGGUUUCUAGGGUGUUCUGUCUCAACGCCUUUUUGUUAGUAAUCCUUGCCAGUAGUGCCUUCAUCAGUUACGGGAGGUGUCCCAGCGCAGUUCGUGCUCUGAAAUGGACAGUGAAGAGCUAGUUGGGAAUGUUGAAGGCCAGCGUGGACAGGAGGUGUGAGCGGGCACGCACCUUCACACCUGAGCCUGGGCAUCCUCGUUGAGGGAAAGAAAACAGCAAUUGUGCAAAAUUCUGUUAGUCAGUGAUUCUUUACUGUGCAGAUCCUGGCAAAUUCAGGGGCUGAGAAAAGGAAAGUGAACACACACCUUGAGUGUGCUUUGGGAACCAAAUGGACUUGAGGGACAAGCUAAGCCAGCGGUGUGAACGACACGCCACGUUUGCGAAGAGCGGGCGGCAGUCGUGCAGGGGUGAGGGCUAGCCGUAGUAUUCUUUGCAAAUGUGAGGAAGAGACGUUGUGUAUUCUCUCGCUUGGUGUAACUAAUCACUGUUAAUUUCAGGAAACAGAACUCGGUGAAGCCCCUCAGCAGCCCAGGGCUGCGUCCCGUCGGGUUCGCUGAGUGAGGCUGUGCUGACGGUAGAAUUGGUACUCGCAGAGGAAGAAAGUGUCCUCUCUCCUCCAAAAUAAAGGACAAAUUAUAAUAAUAUAUAAGUAGCAAGAGUCAAAGAAUUCUGUUUCCUGGAAUAAGCAUUUCUUAUUCCUAGUUGUAGGGACCCCUACUUUUACCUUCCGUUACAGUGUUGGUCCAUAAGAAAUAAUGUUACAUUUACAAUAACUUCACCUGUAUGGGGUAUUUAUUUGCAAUGAUGUCUGAGUACUGUAUUUUUUCUGUGCAUUACCUUAGUGUCAGAAUGUUGUCUUUAUUUUAAGAUCAUAUGCAUGUUCUCCUGCCAAGGAACCUUUACACAGACCCAAACAAACAAACAAACAAACAAACACAAAUGCCUUCUAAUUCUGAGAACGUGAGGCAGAGCGUGGAAAAGGAGUAGGAAGGAGCAGCCAGUCUCGACUUGGGACAUGGGUGUCCGGCGCAAAUGUCUGCAAAGCCAGUGCACAUAGGAACAUGGGCCUGGUAAGGGUCACGUGGUAGGACCAAUAAAUAAAGAAUAAUAAAAAGCACAA